rnacentral:rRNA from 1 species
UACCAGCACCCCGAGUGGUCGGGACGUUUAAUGGGCCUAAAGCAUCCGUAGCCGGUUCUACAAGUCUUCCGUUAAAUCCAACUGCUUAACAGGUGGGCUGCGGAAGAUACUAUAGAGCUAGGAGGCGGGAGAGGCAAGCGGUACUCGAUGGGUAGGGGUAAAAUCCGUUGAUCCAUUGAAGACCACCAGUGGCGAAGGCGGCUUGCCAGAACGCGCUCGACGGUGAGGGAUGAAAGCUGGGGGAGCAAACCGG